rnacentral:rRNA from 1 species
AUACGUAGGUGGCAAGCGUUGUCCGGAUUUAUUGGGCGUAAAGCGAGCGCAGGCGGUUUCUUAAGUCUGAUGUGAAAGCCCCCGGCUCAACCGGGGAGGGUCAUUGGAAACUGGGAGACUUGAGGGCAGAAGAGGGGAGUGGAAUUCCUUGUGUAGCGGUGAAAUGCGUAGAUAUAUGGAGGAACACCAGUGGCGAAGGCGAUUCUCUGGUCUGUAACUGACGCUGAGGCUCGAAAGCGUGGGGAGCAAACAGGAUUAGAUACCCUGGUAGUCCACGCCGUAAACGAUGAGUGCUAAGUGUUGGAGGGUUUCCGCCCUUCAGUGCUGCAGCUAACGCAUUAAGCACUCCGCCUGGGGAGAACGACCGCAAGGUUGAAACUCAAAUGAAUUGGCGGGG